rnacentral:lncRNA from 1 species
AGCGGAAUCUAGUUUGUUCCCAAGUUACCAUAUCUCAGAGGCAUAUAAUGCUGUCCAAUUCUCUUGAAAACAAAAAUAAUUCAAGCUCCAAUAAUAAAGAUUUUUCUGCUUUGUUCUUCUGUGUCCCUUGUGCUGAGAAAACUCAUCUAACGUAUGGGCUUCGACUCUUGGGUCUGAAAAAGGCACCAACCCCUGCUAAAUUCUGAACACUGACAUUAGUCGUCAGCCUUGGGAGAAGCAACAAUCACAACGAUCUGCUUUUUAAUGAGACAAAGGACCAGAAAUUAAGACUAUU